UCCCCAGCCAAACUACAUCUAGUUCAGACUAAAUAAUCCAUCUGAAGCUAAGCAGGCUUUGGCCUGGUCAGUACUUGGAUGGGAGACCCACUAGGGAAGCUGGGCUGCUGCUGGAA
rnacentral:rRNA from 1 species